rnacentral:rRNA from 1 species
UACAGAGGGUGCGAGCGUUAAUCGGAAUUACUGGGCGUAAAGCGUGCGCAGGCGGUUCGCUGUGUCCGAUGUGAAAGCCCCAGGCUUAACCUGGGAAUGGCAUUGGAAACUGGCGGGCUUGAGUGCGGCAGAGGGGGGUGGAAUUCCGCGUGUAGCAGUGAAAUGCGUAGAGAUGCGGAGGAACACCGAUGGCGAAGGCAGCCCCCUGGGUCGACACUGACGCUCAGGCACGAAAGCGUGGGGAGCAAACGGG